rnacentral:ncRNA from 1 species
ACCUCUGGAGAGCAGACGACAGCGUCGUCUCACCGAAGGGGCAAGCCGCUUUACGUGGUGAAACUCUCAGGGUUACGUGACAGAGGGGGA